CUUGCGUCGCCAGAAGGUCGUUUCAGAGCUGUUGGUCGCAUUGCCGUCUCUGCCCUCGUCGUCAAGCCCGGACCUAUCCUCGUCAUCAAGCUCGGACCUAUCCUCGUCAUCGUCGGUUCAUAGUUGCUGCUCGCCCGUCUUCUGUUCUCCUGUUUUUGGUGUUUCAAGUUCGUUAAUUGGUUUUCGAGUAAUAAUUGUUUGUCCUUUAUUAUCGUCAGAGAUUAGCAUCAAGCUUCGCGUUGCAUAUGCAACGGAGAUCUCCACUCGAUUCGUGUUAUCUCUCUUUAUUCGACAUCCGUUCUCAACUACUCUGCCUCCUCGUUGAGAUCCGGCUUCAAUUUCUCUCCAACGAUGCCGACAUUAAUCUCAGGGAAGUUUCUUAUUAUUUUAUUUUCUAUUUAAUUGAUUUAUCAUUUAUUUCAUCUUUUUUUUUGCUAUCUAGUUUAAUCUUGGAAGAUGUUUUUAACAAACUAUUGAGAGAUGAAUUUGCUUUUUUUGAGAUUCAGAUUUGGUUUUAAAAUUUGAGUAGAUUCUCUAUAAAAUUCAUGUAUGUUAGGGUUAUCUAUUAGGAAUUAGGUUGACUUUUUGGAUCAGUUUUAAUUGAUGAGUUUCCAUUUACACUCUUUGUCUCUAAUUCGAAAAAUCUAUUGACAGAACACAGUAUUAUAGUACUAAGUAAUCACUGUCACUGAAUUGUUUUGCAACUUGUAAUGAUAAUAUAAUUGAUCAUAUUCUUGCUCAUUGAAGGUUAUUUACACAUGGAUGGAAGGUAUAAGUAGUGCUAACACAGUUGAAAAUGGUGUACAUCAUUCUCAAGUUCGAUGUAGUGGAGACUAGAAAGAUACAAUUGUCUGGAGAUUUUACCAAUCUGCCAGCUUUUAAUGAAAGCAUUGCUGAGGACAGAGUUAUUUUUUCAGUAGUGGACACAAAGCUAUCUUUCUUUCAGGAGCAUGCUGAAGAAGAAAGCCAAUUUAAUUACUUCUGGUGUUUGAUUGAAAGAAUUCAAGGUGAAGGAGUAACAUCUAAUUCCAAAGUUGAAUUUUAUUCAAAGCUGUGCUCACAUGCUGAUCAUAUAAUGGAAACCAUCUAGAGGCAUUUCAAGAAUGAAGAUGUUCAGGUUCUUCCGCUUGCACAGAAGCACUUUAGUAUCAAAAGGCAAUGUGAACUUUUAUAUCAAAGCUUGUGCAUAAUGCCUCUGAAAUUGAUUAAAUGUGUGCUGCCAUGGUUGAUUGGAUCAUUGACUAAAGAUCUGAAAAAUAU